AGAGCGUAUUUGCGUUGGGUUUUCAGUUGGCCCAACAAACCCCAACGCUUAAUUAGUUAUUCCAGAAUCUCAUGACAAUGCCAUAGAAAAUGCCUAUUGCCUAAAACUUAAUACUUCAUGUUAGGUUGUCAAGGACCGGAACAACUGGGGGGUGUAACACCCUCGAAGAAAAGUCAAGGAAGGGGGUCCAACUUGCUCACAGGAUGAGGGGGGGGGGGGUUAAUACUGGAAUAAUAAUAAAAAACCCAAAAAAAACCAACAGACCCAACAGGCACAACAUACCCAACAGGCACAACAGACCCAACAGACCCAACAGGCACAACAAACCCAACAGGCACAACAGACCCAACGGACCCAACAGGCACAACAGACCCAACAGGCACAACAGACCCAACAAAACCCAACAGCACAACAGACCCAAC